AGAAUCCAUGCGAGUAUCGGAAAAUUGUCCUGACGAGUACCGGAAAAGGGUCGAAUCAGUGUGAGUACCGAAAAAUAGUAGAAUCCGGAAGAGUACCGGGAAAAGGUAGAAUCCGUGCGAGUAUCAAAAAACUGUCCCGGCGAUUACAAAAAAAUGGUCGAAUCAAUAUGAGUACCGAAAAAUAAUAGAAUCUGGGCAACUAUGGGAAAAAGGUAGAAUCUAUGCGAGUAUCGAAAAAUUGUCCUGACGAGUACCAGAAAAGGGUUGAAUCAGUGUGAGUACCGAAAAGGUAGAAUAAAAUCCGUGCGAGUAUCAAAAAACUGUCCCGACGAUUACAAAAAAAUGGUCGAAUCAUUGUGAGUUGUGAAAAAUGAUAGAAUCCGGUUGAGUACCGGGAAAAGGUAGAAUCCAUGCGAGUAUCGAAAAAUUGUCCUGACGAGUACCGGAAAAAGGUCGAAUGAGUGUGAGUACCGAAAAAUAGUAGAAUCCGGGAGAGUACCGAGAAAAGGUACAAUCCGUGCGAGUAUCGCAAAACAGUCCCGGUGAUUACAAAAAAAUGGUCGAAUCAAUGUGAGUACCAAAAAAUAGUUGAAUCCGGGAGAGUACUGGGAAAAGGAAGAAUCCGUGCGAGUAUCGAAAAACUGUCCUGGCGAUUAUAAAAAAAUGGUCGAAUCAAUGUGAGUACCGAAAAAUGAUAGAAUCCGGUUGAGUACUGGGAAAAGGUAGAAUCCAUGCGAGUAUCGAAAAAUUGUCCUGACGAUUACCGGAAAAGGGUCGAAUGAGU
rnacentral:lncRNA from 1 species